rnacentral:lncRNA from 1 species
GGGGGGGGUCUUCCAUUGGUCUCUUACCCAACACUUUUUCUUCAAGGAGUGGAGAAUGUUCAGAUAAGUUACCCUGAGAAGAGCAGAAACCCUCAGAGUUAUCUGACCCUAGGUCUACCUAUUCAGGAGGCAUAGAUGGGGGGUUUUGCUUUGGAACGGGUGCUUUUUCUAGUAGAGGCAGAUGGAUUUCUGGGGUGCUUAGCCAUUGGAAGGGAAAAGCUUGAACGGAGUUUUUAAAGAGAAGAUGAAGAUGAAUGUGAUUGAAAAGGGUUUUCUACUUUAAGAAGGGAGAUUUGGCGGUUGAGUACAGAAAAGGAAAAUUUGUUAGUUGAAGGGAUGUGAUGAUUGGCUUUCCAACUUUGAACGACGAACUGAU